AACGAACGCUGGCGGCAUGCCUAACACAUGCAAGUCGAACGAGACCCUCGGGACUAUUGUCGCACCGGUUCGUAACGCAACGGAACCUGACCUUAGGUUCGAACUAACCCCCCGACAGGGGUGCUAAUACCGGAUAAUGUCUAAGACCCAAAGAUUUAUCGGCAUUGGAUGGGCCCGCGUUGGAUUAACUAGUUGGUAGGGUAAAAGCCUACCAAGGCGACGAUCCAUAGCUGUUCUGAGAGGAUGAUCAGCCGGACUGGGACUGAGACACGGCCCAGACUCGUACGGGGGGGAGCAGUGGGGAAUACUGGAGGAGGGGGGAAAGUGUGAUCAAGCCACGCCGCGGGAGAGAUGAAGGGGGUAGUAUUCCACAGCUAUUUGAGAAGGGAUGAUAAUGACAGUACCGGGAGAAUAAGCUCCGGCUAACUACGUG
rnacentral:rRNA from 1 species